AGUGAACGCUGGCGGUAGGCCUAACACAUGCAAGUCGAACGGCAGCACAGUAAGAGCUUGCUCUUACGGGUGGCGAGUGGCGGACGGGUGAGGAAUACAUCGGAAUCUACUUUUUCGUGGGGGAUAACGUAGGGAAACUUACGCUAAUACCGCAUACGACCUACGGGUGAAAGCAGGGGAUCUUCGGACCUUGCGCGAUUGAAUGAGCCGAUGUCGGAUUAGCUAGUUGGCGGGGUAAAGGCCCACCAAGGCGACGAUCCGUAGCUGGUCUGAGAGGAUGAUCCGCCCCACGGGAACUGGGCCACGGUCCAGACCCCUGCGGGGGGCAGCGAUGGGGAAUAUUGGAAAAAGGGCGAAAGCCUGAUCCAGCCAACCCGGGGGGGUGAAGAAGGCCUUCGGGUUUUAAAGCCUUUUUUUGGGGAAAAAAAAGCAGCAGGUUAAAACCCCGCUGUUCUGCCGGUACCCAAAAAAAAAGCCCCGGCUAAUUUCGG
rnacentral:rRNA from 1 species